AUACCACGUACCACCACCAACAACUAGAUCAUCAUCAAGAGACCCAACAUCGCUAUGCACCCAACACAUCACCCUACCAUAGCCGCCUUAGCCAAAACACUCAACGAUCAUUUAACACCAACUGUCCCUCCUCAUACCAUAGCCAAGAAGCCCAAACAUCUCAAAACCAAAACCUUCAACAACCAUAUGUCUACCAAAU
rnacentral:lncRNA from 1 species